rnacentral:rRNA from 1 species
AACGAACGCUGGCGGCAGGCUUAACACAUGCAAGUCGAGCGCCUCGCAAGAGGAGCGGCAGACGGGUGAGUAACGCGUGGGAACGUACCCUUAUCUUCGGAAUAGCUCUGGGAAACUGGAAGUAAUACCGAAUGUGCCCUUGGGGGGAAAGAUUUAUCGGAUAAGGAUCGGCCCGCGUUGGAUUAGCUAGUUGGUGGGGUAAAGGCCUACCAAGGCGACGAUCCAUAGCUGGUCUGAGAGGAUGAUCAGCCACAUUGGGACUGAGACACGGCCCAAACUCCUACGGGAGGCAGCAGUGGGGAAUAUUGGACAAUGGGCGCAAGCCUGAUCCAGCCAUGCCGCGUGAGUGAUGAAGGCCUUAGGGUUGUAAAGCUCUUUCACCGGAGAAGAUAAUGACGGUAUCCGGAGAAGAAGCCCCGGCUAACUUCGU